UGGGGAAUAUUGCACAAUGGGCGAAAGCCUGAUGCAGCAACGCCGCGUGAGUGAUGAAGGCCUUCGGGUUGUAAAGCUCUGUCUUCUGGGACGAUAAUGACGGUACCAGAGGAGGAAGCCCCGGCUAACUACGUGCCAGCAGCCGCGGUAAUACGUAGGGGGCAAGCGUUGUCCGGAUUUACUGGGUGGAAAGGGUGCUCAGGCGGAUUUGUAAGUCAGAGGUGAAAUCUUACAGCUUAACUGUGAAACUGCCUUUGAUACUGCAAGCCUAGAGUAUGGAAGAGAGUGAUGGAAUAUCUGGUGUAGCAGUGAAAUGCGUAGAUAUCAGAUAGAACACCAAUGGCGAAGGCAGUCACUUGGUCCAUUACUGACGCUAAAGCACGAAAGCGUGGGUAGCAAACG
rnacentral:rRNA from 1 species